AAAUGGUCGGAGUCGAUGAAUCGGACUGCCCUAUUUGAUUCUACAAUCCAACCUGGUAAUGAGGAUGUUUCUUCGUCGAGGUUGGUGGGGAGGAGGACACCCAGAGAAGCAUUUUUGUACAUCCAUGGACCUUCUUCAAAAUCACCAUUAGUCACUGCAUUAUCUGCAGGAAAUGUGGUAGAAGCCAAAGACGCAAUGAUAAGUUGCUUGUUGCUAACUAGGACCUUAAUCUUACAACAGAAGAGGGAAAGGAUGAAGGUAAAUACCUUUGGGAGGAUCAGGAGUGAAGAGCUUCUUGAUGGCGACGUCAUCAAUGAUAGGGCCACAGGUGGGGUCAUCCUCCAUGCCUGGGUUCCGGAACACCACAUGCGCAUCCUCCUCCUCCGCUGAAAACGCCCAAGCGUAGGGGUCCCACCCCUGCACAUUGUACAGCGUCUGCAAGUCUAUGUUCUGGGAGGCUGCCCCCACCGACACGUUUA
rnacentral:lncRNA from 1 species